rnacentral:rRNA from 1 species
AGUAAACGGCGGUGGUAACUAUAACCAUCCUAAGGUAGCGAAAUUCCUUGUCGGGUAAGUUCCGACCUGCACGAAUGGAGUAACGACUUGGGCGCUGUCUCCACCAUGAACUCGGCGAAAUUGCAUUACGAGUAAAGAUGCUCGUUACGCGCAGCAGGACGGAAAGACCCCGGGACCUUUACUAUAGUUUGGUAUUGGUGAUCGGUACGACUUGUGUAGGAUAGGUGGGAGACUUUGAAGCGGGCACGCCAGUGUUCGUGGAGUCAACGUUGAAAUACCACUCUGGUCGUUCUGGUUAUCUAACCUAGGUCCAUUAUCUGGAUCAGGGACAGUGCCUGAUGGGUAGUUUGACUGGGGCGGUCGCCUCCCAAAAGGUAACGGAGGCGCCCAAAGGUUCCCUCAGCCUGGUUGGCAAUCAGGUGUUGAGUGUAAGUGCACAAGGGAGCUUGACUGUGAGAGGGACACCUCGAGCAGGGACGAAAGUCGGGACUAGUGAUCCGACGGUGGCACAUGGAAGCGCCGUCGCUCAACGGAUAAAAGGUACCCCGGGGAUAACAGGCUGAUCUUGCCCGAGCGCUCACAGCGACGGCAUGGUUUGGCACCUCGAUGUCGGCUCGUCGCAUCCUGGGGCUGUAGUCGGUCCCAAGGGUUGGGCUGUUCGCCCAUUAAAGCGGCACGCGAGCUGGGUUCAGAACGUCGUGAGACAGUUCGGUCCCUAUCCGCUGCGCGCGUAGGAAUCUUGAGAAGAGCUGUCCUUAGUACGAGAGGACCGGGACGGACUAACCUCUGGUGUGCCAGUUGUCCUGCCAAGGGCACGGCUGGUUGGCUACGUUGGGAAGUGAUAACCGCUGAAAGCAUCUAAGCGGGAAGCACGCUUCAAGAUGAGGGUUCCCACAGAAUAAUCUGGUAAGGCCCCCGGCAGACCACCGGGUGAUAGGUCGGAUGUGGAAGUGCUGAGAGGCAUGGAGCUGACCGAUACUAAUAGGCCGAGGGCUUGUUUUC